UACGUAGGUGGCAAGCGUUAUCCGGAAUUAUUGGGCGUAAAGCGCUCGUAGGCGGGAUUGGAAGUCCGUGUUGAAAGACCUCGGCUCAACUGAGGGACCGGCUCGGAUACUCUAAUUCUUGAGGCAAUCAGAGGAUGAUGGAAUUCCCGGUGUAGCGGUGAAAUGCGUAGAUAUCUGGAGGAACACCGGUGGCGAAGGCGCAUCCUGGACCGGCAUUGACGCUGAGGAGCGAAAGCCAGGGGAGCAAACGGG
rnacentral:rRNA from 1 species